UCCCUCUCAGGGUCUCAUCUGGAGAGUUUCCAGUCCUCUACCAGUCUCGAAUUAGGGAGAAAGAGUCAAGCAGAGGCCUGUCCAUUCCAUUCCCAGCUUGGGCAGUGGCUAGUGAGUGGAAGGCAAUCUGCUACAAGU